GGCAGCCUGACUGCUUGUGGCUGGGUUGUAGCUCCCGCAAGCCAGCAGAUUGUUACAGCCUCAUGUGAGCAGGCAGUUCCCCAGCUCCUGGUGUUAGCAUGUUGCUACAGUUGGCUUUAGUUAAAGGUUGCAGUGAUGUCGAGUCAGCAGUUAAGGAUUACCAAAUACUAAACCAUGCCUUCACUCUGACGGCUGAAGACUACAAGCAAUGACCCCCACUCCCCGCACCCAAAGAUUGUAGACUGCAAAGCCAGAAGAUCAUGUCCUACCUAUCCCAGCCUGCCAAUGGGACAAGGAGGAUGACCUUCCCGUCUGACUCAGCGGCAUCCAUAACCUUGUAUGGACAGAGAUCACUAUAAAGAAUGAACACAAAGAAAAGGGUUUGAGUCUGUCCACCUGCAAGGAGCAGUUUUGGGUGCAUCCAACAAGACCUGACUCCAUUCCUCGUGGUCAGUCUGGCUGGCCACUAGACUGACCCGAGCAUCUGUAGAACUAGGCCUCUACACCACAGCUGAUAUGCAACAUCUUGCUGCUUGAAUUUGAUUGGCAGAAGUCACUGGGAAAGUGUCCAGAAAGGAAGCAAAGCAAUUCAAUCCUAAUUGCUCCAGUGUGAGGCAACAGAGCUUAAAAGUAAAAAAUGAACUGCACAAUUAAAAUGCAAACUGAGUUAGUUCAAGAAGCACGUGCUGUGUGGAUGCAUGUGCCUUGUCUUUUUACCUCCUUUGUAAAGUGAUUAGCAUGUUGUUGACUAAUUAAUAAAAAUGUACAUGA